rnacentral:rRNA from 1 species
CCUACGGGGGGCAGCAGUGGGGGAUAUUGCACCAUGGGGGGAACCCUGAUGCAGCGACGCCGCGUGGGUGAAGAAGCGCCUCGGCGCGUAAAGCCCUGUCAGCAGGGAAGAAAAUGACGGUACCUGAAGAAGAAGCCCCGGCUAACUACGUGCCAGCAGCCGCGGAAAUACGGAGGGGGCAGGCGUUAUCCGGCUUUACUGGGUGUAACGGGGGCGCAGGCGGCGAUGCAAGCCAGGAGUGAAAGCCCGGGGCCCAACCCCGGGACUGCUUGUGAACAUGCGAGGCUGGAGUGCAGGAGGGGCAGGCGGAAUUCCUGGUGUAGCGGUGAAAUGCGUAGAUAUCAGGAGGAACACCGGUGGCGAAGGCGGCCUGCUGGACUGCAACUGACGUUGAGGCCCGAAAGCGUGGGGAGCAAACAGGAUUAGAUACCCGUGUAGUC